GUAAUUAUAGUUUAAUCAAAACAUUAGAUUGUGAGUCUAAAAAUAGAAGACUACAAACUUCUUAUUUACC
rnacentral:tRNA from 1 species